rnacentral:tRNA from 1 species
GCGCGAGUGGCGGAAUUGGUAGACGCGCUACUUUGAGGGGGUAGUGGCCGAAAGGCCGUGGUGGUUCAAGUCCACUCUCGCGCA